rnacentral:lncRNA from 1 species
GCACUUGGCAACCUCACCUGUGACUUAACGGUUUUGUCCAUUUGCAGAGGAAAAGGUGGUGCCUCCCAGAUGCAAACUGGCCAUGCUGACCCCAGAGAAGCCAACGCAGGAGAGGCCAUCCCGAGCUGUGCUGGAAAACCCCGGCUUCUCCCCAAUUGGACUUAUUUUGAUCUCUUCUACAUUUACAUUUAUUCCAAUCUACUCACUGGUGCUGCUGUGUUGGGCAUUCCGGGCCGCAGACAGAACUCUCCACCUCUACUGGAUCCCCAAGAACCAUUCAGUAGAAAAGGCAAUUGAAGAACAUGAGAAGUGCCAGUCAAUUUCUGUGGACAAGCCUCCUCACUUUGGAACUUGUCAUGGCAUGCCCGGUGUACCAGAUGCCGUGAUAAAUCCACUGGAUUUGAAAUUUACCUGCGUAGAGUCUGAGAGCCAGCAGCCCUACGCCAGGGACAUGGAAGAGGGAAUGCAGCUCAGCUUGACAAAGCAAAAAUACUUCACAGGUGAAAGAGAAAGCAAAUCUCUCCGGACUGCCUCUCUGAGAGCAGGCACAAGCACAGGGAAAACAACAAGAGAUCUCCUGGUAAACACCUUGGAUGACUUGAGAGAGAGCGAGUUGAAGAACUUCAAGCACAAACUGACUGACAUUGAUCUGAAGGAGGGAUACAAUCACAUCCCUGAAGGGAAACUGGAGAAUGCAAAGUCUCUAGAGAUCACUGACCUCUUGACUGGACACUACACAAUGGAUAAUGCACUGGAGGUGACCACGAUAGUGCUGGAAGCCAUCAACCGGAAAGNCGACCACAUCCCUAAAGGGAAACUGGAGAAUGCAAAGUCUCUAGAGACCACUGACCUCUUGAUCGGACACUACACAAUGGAUUAUGCACUGGAGGUGACCACGAUAGUGCUGGAAGCCAUCAACCGGAAAGACCUGGCAAGGAGAUUAAGAGGUGUAACAAGGACUGGGGACGUGAAACAUCCUGCAUCAGGGUCUGAUCCUCCCACUGGUUAGUUCAUCCUUCAGGGUGUGGGGAGUUGUCCUGUUUGCAGCACAGAAAGUAGAAGGAAAAGACUCAUUACUGAGACAGUGGCAGACCUAGAAAGGGAACCUAAGAGUCUCUGUCCUCUCUGGGACUAAUCCUUAGAACUCCCCCCUUCCUCCCUCAGCUCCCACCUGCUCAGAUGUAGAAAUGAAAUCCCAAACUCCCCAGACUCCCCAGCCCUAGACAGCAGAAUCUCCCUGACCAUGUGUGGAUUCUAUCCAAAACAGAUAUGAGGGGAGCGCAGAGGCACUGACGUUUGAUCUACAGAAGGGUGAGGGUGGAGAAGGGAGGGUAUCCAGGCCUGGGUGAGGGCAUGGCUGGACUGUAUAGUUUGUUUCUCUUGUUAUAGGCACAAGCACAGGGAAAACAACAAGAGAUCUCCUGGUAAACACCUUGGAUGACUUGAGAGAGAGCGAGUUGAAGAACUUCAAACGCAAAUUGACUGACAUUGAUCUGAAGGAGGGAUAUGACCACAUCCCUAAAGGGAAACUGGAGAAUGCAAAGUCUCUAGAGAUCACUGACCUCUUGAUCGGAUACUACACAAUGGAUUAUGCACUGGAGGUGACCAUGAUAGUGCUGGAAGCCAUCAACCGGAAAGACCUGGCAAGGAGAUUAAGAAGCGUAACAAGGACUGGUCAGGAAUCAGCCUGGCUGUGCCUCGGUGUACCUCAAGGUGUUAUCCACAAAUACCCAUAUUCACCACCGUUAUAUAAUUACGAUAAGUUUUGUAUAAUGCAUGCCUUGCAAGAUAUUUUAAAAGUCUUGCUCUCUUGAACAUUAAUAUCCUGUUGGAUUGUAUAUGUUCUCAUGUUAUGUGAAGUUUUGCUAUGUGUCUGUUACUGAAAUAUAUUGUGAGGUUGGGAACACCCCAACCAGCCUUUCAGGUAUAACAGUGGAGAAGCCAGACAGUGGUUAAUGACUCAUCCACACCUAUCAAAGAAAUUGCGCCCACGUACUGGCCGGUGGACGAGCAUCCGCCGAAAUGCCGAUUAUCGGUGGUAUUUCAGUGGCAACGCCUCUUGAUGUUGCUGCUUGUCGGUGUAAUUUUGGCGAAUCAUCCGCCAUCAUGGUCCUCCAUGCUCGUCGUCUGUCACCUGCCAGACGAAAAAGGUUGGGGACCACUGGUCUAGAGGACAAAGAUGUUGAACUGGGGAAGGGUGGUCUGAGGCUGGAAAGAGUCCCAGUCUGUGUAUUGAGGAUCUGUGACCUGUUUGUACCAUCCUUCAGGGUAAGACACUGCUUGAUUCAAAUCCUAUUUAGUUUGUAGAACUCAGAGUGCGAAUAUAUUUUUAUUUUUAUUUCUUAAGUAACCAGCUUUGAUCUCGACAUUUGCUACUUAUAAUCACUUAAAAUCUACCCUUUUGUAAUCAAUAAACCUGUUUUAUUUUUUACCUAAAACA